rnacentral:rRNA from 1 species
GACAGAGGGGGCAAGCGUUGCUCGGAAUCACUGGGCGUAAAGGGCGCGUAGGCGGGAUGGCAAGUCAGUCGUGAAAUCUCUCGGCUCAACCGAGAAACGUCGGCUGAUACUGCCGUUCUUGAGGGAUGCAGAGGAGACUGGAAUUCCCGGUGUAGCGGUGAAAUGUGUAGAGAUCGGGAGGAACACCGGUGGCGAAGGCGGGUCUCUGGGCAUCUCCUGACGCUGAGGCGCGAAGGCGUGGGGAGCAAACAGG